GAUGUGAGGGGCACCUGGCUCCAGCAUUUGUCAGCCCACUGAUCAGCAGGGUUGACUUGGCUGAUCUGGUUGGCUAGGUGGUGUGCCCUUCCUCACGAUC
rnacentral:sRNA from 1 species